UACAGAGGGUGCGAGCGUUGUUCGGAAUUAUUGGGCGUAAAGGGCGCGUAGGCGGUCUGCCAAGUCUGGGGUGAAAUCCUCCGGCUCAACCGGAGAACGGCCUCGGAUACUGGCGGUCUCGAGGGAGGUAGGGGCGUGCGGAACUAAGGGUGGAGCGGUGAAAUGCGUUGAUAUCCUUAGGAACUCCGGUGGCGAAGGCGGCACGCUGGACCUCUUCUGACGCUGAGGCGCGAAAGCCAGGGGAGCAAACGGG
rnacentral:rRNA from 1 species